rnacentral:rRNA from 1 species
GUGAGGAAUCUUCCGCAAUGGGCGAAAGCCUGACGGAGCGACACCGCGUGGAGGACGAAGGCCUUUUGGUUGUAAACUCCUUUUCUGAGGGAAUAAUUGAUGAAGUUACCUCAGGAAUAAGCACCGGCUAACUACGUGCCAGCAGCUGCGGUAAUACGUAGGGUGCAAGCGUUAUCCGGAAUCAUUGGGCGUAAAGCGUUCGCAGGCGGUUCGGUAAGUUUGUGGUAAAAUCUGGCCGCUCAACGGUCAACCUGUCACAAAUACUGCUGAACUGGAGAUUGGCAAAGGCGACUAGAAUUCUGCAUGUAGGGGUAAAAUCCGUUGAUAUGCAGAGGAAUACCAAAAGCGAAGGCAGGUCGCUAGGCCAUUUCUGACGCUGUUGAACGAAAGCGUGGGUAGCAAACAGGAUUAGAUACCCGGGUAGUCC